rnacentral:tRNA from 1 species
UGUACUGAAGCUUAGUUGAUCAAAGCGCCAAAUUAGGGAUACGGAGGCGUUGGUUCAAAUCCCACCAAAACAA